CCUAAGUCCAGUGCCAAGCCAAGAUGCAAGUUUUAUGUUUUAUUUUGAUUUUUUUCUGUUUUACAGAGCUGGGGAUCAAACUUGGGGCCCCAUGCCUGCUAGGCACUUGUUCUGCUACCGAACUAUCCCAACAGCCUGAGAUGCAAGUCCUUACGAGAGAAAACCGAAAAUGUUGCCUGAUUCUUAACCCACCUAUUCACAUUUGUUUGAGAUGUCAGAAAUUGCAAUCAGCAAGAUGGAGGAGUAGAAAAACAAAGCUGGGGGUGGAAAUUAG
rnacentral:lncRNA from 1 species